GUGGGGUGGGGCAAGCUGGUGUGGGCGUGGUCGUGGUGGCACAAGUGAGAGAGGCUGGCCAAGGUGGGUGGCCGCCUGCUGGGUCAGGUCCUCCUUCUGCCGUGCCCUGGCUAGGAAGCCCGAGGGGCGUGGACACCCGAGUUCCCAUCUCUUCUACAUUGCGGACGACCUCAUUUGGCCAGGACAUCCACGUGGCCUUGUGUCCCACAGUAUCUGGGGUUUCUGGAACCUUGCAGGGUAGCCCCCACUUCAUCCCAGAUGCAGACUUUGUCACCCUUGAAGAGCUCAGGCCACAGGAAGGAGGAGACAGAGAAAACACCAAGAGGAGUCCGAGGAGACAAGAUGGAGGUGGAGCCAAGCAGACAGAACCCAGAGGCUCCUGGAGACACAGAAGCUGGAAGAAGCAAGGAAGGAUCUUCCCUGAGCUGUGGAGGGCACAUCCUCUUUCCACAUCUGUUAGGUUUUGAGUCUCCAAGGCUAAGCAACUAUAGUUGUGUACUGUUUCACACCUAUUGAUCUAAAUAAUCAACAGAGACCCUCCAAAGACCAAUAUGCUUGCUCUCCAGGGCAUAGUAAAAAAAUUUGAGGGAAGAUGAGGAGGACUGCACAUCCUGAAACAGUAGUCCAUGGCUGUGUGGGCCAUACAGAGGCUGGACAGACACAUCCCUGCAAAAGCAACCAUGGGCUGGGCAGCCAAUGUGCAUAGCAUGGCUCUGAGGCCUUUAUGAUCAGGCAUACAUGCAUGAAAUUACGGCUUUUACACCCACCUGGCUUUGUAAAUUUAUUUUUGUUAGGUUUGACACAAGUUCAUUUUGAUUCUGACAAGUUUCACACAAUGCAAGUUCAAAACAUAUGGCAAGAAGACCACAGAAGGCAGCUUGACCAAACCCUAACCAGAAACUGUUCUCAAUGCUACAGUCUCACCCAAAGUUUCAGACAUGGCUGGGCUGGUCAUGUUUCCAUAUGCAAGGCCCAUUGCUCUGCAGAGCUCUCCCCCAGCCUGAAUAUAUUGGAGCCCUAGGCUUAUCUGUGGGGAAGGACAGAGGGUUUCCAGUCCUUCUGCUUCCCAGGAGGUGCCACCAGCAGGUUCCUGAGGCAGGAACACAUAGGCCCUGGGCAUCUGCCUGGCUGGCCCUUGUCUCUGGGGCCAGGGACAUUAGAGGGUGACUGGGGUCAGGUUACAGUUGUCCUGAGAGGUGUCAAACCCACAGAACAGCCCACAGGUCCCAGAGCCCAUGUUUUGGGGACACUCCAUGGACAGCUGACCUGAAGCCACCACCUUUGCUGAGCAUAGUUUUCUGGUAUAGGUCAGGUGCAUUAUGGGUGUUGUCUGGGUGGAGAACCAUAUGGAUGCCCUCUCUCGAGAAUACCUUGUAGGAGUGAAUGGAGCCAGUCUCUGACCCGCACCUCUUGCCAGAAGCCUGGAGGCCUGGACGAGACCACACACCACAGCCUGCCAGUUCCAUUGGCUUACCCUAUAGGGUUUCCUGUAGGGUCUCCUCUGGCUGGUGUACUGCCAUCUGCGGUUGUGUACUUACUUAACCUCUCUUCCUGCAGAGGACUUUUUCCUAAGGCCUCUUUUCAGUGCUGAGGAGCC